GAUGAACGCUCGCUACAGGCUUAACACAUGCAAGUCGAGGGACCGGCGCCCGAGUGAGUAACACGUAUACAACCUGCCCUUUACUCGGGGCUAGCCUUUCGAAAGAAAGAUUAAUACCCGAUAUAAAGACUGGGGAUGCGUUCCCUUAGGUUGUUUGUGAGUUACCGGCUCCACAAGCCUUCGAUGGAUAGGGGUUCUGAGAGGAAGGUCCCCCACAUUGGAACUGAGACACGGGCCACACUCCUACGGGAGGCAGCAGUGAUGAAUAUUGGUCAAUGGGCGCUAGCCUGAACCAGCCAAGUAGCGUGAAGGAUGAAGGCUUAUGGGUCGUAAACUUCUUUUAUAUAAGAAUAUGUAUUAUAUGAAUAAGGAUCUGCUAACUCCGUGCCAGCCGCCGCGGUAAUUC
rnacentral:rRNA from 1 species